GCCCCGGUAGCUCAGCUGGACAGAGCAGCGGUUUCCUAAACCGCAGGUCGCACGUUCGAAUCGUGUCCGGGGUACCA
rnacentral:tRNA from 1 species